rnacentral:rRNA from 1 species
UACAGAGGGUGCGAGCGUUGUCCGGAAUCACUGGGCGUAAAGCGCACGUAGGCGGUUGUGUCAGUCAGGGGUGAAAUCCCGGGGCUCAACCUCGGAACUGCCUUUGAUACAGCACGUCUCGAGUCCGGAAGAGGUGGGUGGAAUUCCUAGUGUAGAGGUGAAAUUCGUAGAUAUUCGCAAGAACACCAGUGGCGAAGGCGGCUCACUGGCCCGGUACUGACGCUGAGGUGCGAAAGCGUGGGGAGCAAACAGG